CUUGAAGCAUCAAUUCGGUCUCGGGCUGGAUCUUUACGUCCAUACAUUUGCUUCGGUUCUGCGAUAUGCGAAAUAUUUAUCUGAUAUAUAUACACAGUCAAUAUAUUAUGCAAAAAGUACUGAGAACCGUCAACUGAAUACUGUGACUGAGAUAUACGAGUUAUAAAUAUACUUCAAACACUUUUGAUGUCCAUGGCAGAGAGAUUUUAAUAAUUUUAUUUUCGCGGAAAGCUGCUGCAGAUCGAGACCACAACGUCGUACCUGCGGAGGUGUAGUAGGCCAUGCUGUUGCGGAUGCGAUACGUCCCAGGCCGUCAAAUCGAAGCGAAAUAUCGAUUAUAUAUUUCGGGCGGCGGCGGCGGUGGCGUUCGUUUUAAUUCGUCAAGGGUCAUUUGGCACCGCUCUGACUUUGAAUGCGUGCGUGUGCGUGCACCACCUAUUUGUAAGGGCCGACGUAAUAUAUACAUAUAACAACAACGAAAGUGUAUAAUACUAAUAAUAAUAAUAAUAAUAAUAAUGAUAUUCCCCCAUGACUAAUUGCCGUUUGACUUUACGGUCCGCGGAUGUGUUUAAUACGGAUAUAAUACAAUAAUAUUAUAAUAUCGUACACGCGUCGUCGUAUAUAUAUAUACACGGAGGUGCAC